AGAAGAUAAGAUUGAGAACAGAAGGCU
rnacentral:piRNA from 1 species